UCCUGGCCCGGCCCCACAGAGGUGCUGGGUGCUGCAGCCGCCCAGGCCUGGCCCUGGAGAGCCCCCCGGAGCCCCCUGCUGCUGCUGGCGUGCAGUUUAUGCAGGAAGAAGCACUCCCAGGAGAUUCCUGCAGAUAAGCAACAGGAAUGAUGGUGCCUCUCUAUUGCUGUGUGGAAAUGUGGCCUUUCCAUGCGCUUCAAGGUUUCCGAUAAUGAAUCUGGAGGCUGCUCGUGCUGCCUGCACUGCCUGACGUGGGACACCUCCAAGGGGCACCCCUUAGAAGGUACUUUUUCUAUAUGCUGAGCACAGCCCAGACCUUGUUAAAUUCUUCUAGCAAGAUGAGGGAAAGAUGGUUCUUAGAGAUUCUGCUGUCACAUGGCUUUUUAGCUUUCCCACAGGCUGGAUCCUAAAGUACCAUUGACUACAGUAAAGGAGAGGCUGGAAGGCAAGUCAUGGGAGUGAGAGAAAAAUUUCUGCACAGGCUACACCUGGACAGAGGAUGCCCUACCUCCUUCCGAAGACUUCAUGAUACGGCUCUAGCAGAGCCAGCUGCCUUCUGCUGGGAAGCAGGUGAUGUCCAUCAUGCUUAACACCAUUGCUUUGGAGAAACACAGGGAUCCUUGGUGCCCACAGCGUAACUGUUAGGCCACAGAAGAUAGAUCCGAUGUACAUCUUGUGGUGACAAGAGACACAAGAAGAAUUGAUGUAGAGCACCCAACUUUGCCAAGACAGAGAAAACUGGUGGAAAGCAGCUAUUCACAUACAAAGGAGGGACUCGGUAUUUUCUCAGAAAAGUAACUUAGCUCUUGAGGUAAGUUUUUGUUUUCUCAGUGUUGAACUACUUUCUUCCUCUGUCAUCUUCCAACUCAUAACUACUUCAGUUUCCUCUUCAUUGCUCUGAAUGAUGUGGACAUUUAAUACCAGCUGUGGUGCUACAGCACUGCCUUGCUGUGAUAUUGCAAGCUUCCUUCUUUCAGUGUGGGAUUAAAAGGGGCAAUAAGCAAAGAAGUUACCAUUGCAGUGUAAGUGCAACUGUAAUUAAUACCCACCAGGAUAAUAUGAGUAGGAAAUUAACAUCCUUAGGAAGAUCAGACAGAAUAUAUCUAUCCUGUCUAUAUUGCUAGAGCGGACAAGGAAGAAAGUUGUACUAUGUUUGAACUACAUUUUUAGCACUCAUUAAUUCUUCUCAUUGCUGCAUCAAUGGUAGACAAAGCUACUGGAAGCUACCACCUGUUCUCCAAGAAAUGUACCCUGCAAAGCUAGCCAUGGGGGCACAUUAUUUGCUGAAGCAACUGCCUGUUGAAGAUGCUUUGUUCCAGCACUGUGAAAGUUGAUAUAAAUGUAUGGAUAUAAGUAAACUGGACUGUUCCAUAGAUGUAAAUAGGUGUAUAAUAAUGUAUAUAUGGUUUGUCUGCAGUGUCUUCUUGGCCGGUAACCUGCAGCUAGCAGAUUUAGUCAGCUGCUAAAUGUUCAUGGAAAUAUGAUUUGAAUUGCUCUCCACACUGCUGGUGAGUGGCCAGGAAAGGAAAACAAUUCACAUCUAAUAUAAUCAAUGGAUUCAGCUCCUUUAAAAAAGAUAAAGAAAAUCAUGUUGAUCUAUAUACAUUUUUUUGAUUUUAAUUUUCAGAAAAAGAGGUGAAUAAUAAUAAUAAUCUCUUACAUAAAUCAUACAUCUUAAAGAAUAGGAUGGGUUCUACAGAAAAUCUGACAUAUGAAUGGUUUGAUAAGGCUUGAUGAUAAUUUUUCAACAAGAUUUUGACUUCAUUAAUGGUACAACACUUUAUUCAAACUUGUGUUCUUUAUAGACACAGGAAAAUGUCAUAUACCUUAAUUUUUAGGAAAUAUAAAUAUUCUUUUAAAAAAAAAAUCUAUCUAGUGGCUACCUCUCUCACCGAACAGUACUUUUUGUACAAGCCAAAUGCAUGAUAUAGUCAUCUGAAAAAAGUAGCAUGAUGUUCUGGAAUGGCAUUAGUUAGUUACUGACGCUGCUGCAGUGGGCUGGUAACCACAGCACUUGUCCAUAGGCAACAACUGGGGGACAGAAUGUUCUUCCAAAAACAUGUUCUUGGUCAUACGGGGUUGUGAACGUGGGACAUGAAGAAAGGUUGGAACAAAACUGUACAUUGGGAAGGCAAAACCUUCCUCUUCAGGAUUUGUGUUAAUGGCUGCACACAGAUUGCUAAAUUAUUCCAAGAGACACGCUGAACCUACCUGACACUUCAGAACACUGUGUUACACCAGCCACUAUGUUUCCAGUCACUUUCCUUACCUGCAGGAGUGAAAUGGGAGUUCUUGAGAAAAGGUUCUCUGGGCACAGAAACUGCAAGGAGCUCUGUUAAAAUGGCGCAAGGACAUGAGAGAGCAAUGCAUGGUAAUUUCACCUGAUCCAGCCACAAUAUGAUCCAACAUAAGUCUGGUUUAAAUGAUUGCACGAGUUUAUGCACCAAAAGCCAUUUGUCUAAAACACACAGCAUUGCGACUUCUGUUAUCCUGGCACAACACGGUGUACAGGUAAUUCUCUCACACCUAACCUGAGAUGAUUACUUUGUCAUGCUAUUGCGUGGAUGGGAGAAAUGUAUUUACAAAGUAAAGAUCACAGCUGGUGGGCUUGUGUCUGCAGCUUCCAAGAUCCCAUAAAUCAUCCAAGUCCUUCAUUCUUCCAAGUCCUUCCUUCAGGACCAGAAAACCUUGUAUAAUCUCUUUAGCGCAGGUAAAUGACCUCAGAAAUAGUCGGGUGGUAUGGAAUAUUAAGUCAGUUCUAGGUCUUUUUUCUUGUUUGCUCUUGAAAUCUUUUGUGUGAUGAUUCUGAGUAUAUACGGUAUUACUGGUCCUCUACGCUGUCAGAGACAGCGGUAAGUUAACUGUGUGCUGAUAAUGAGCAAGGGAAAAGACAUGGCAAAGUUUGAAUAGUCUGGUUUUCAAGCAAACUUAAAUCUGAAAUUU